GACGUAGGGCGCGAGCGUUGUCCGGAAUUAUUGGGCGUAAAGAGCUCGUAGGCGGUCUGUCGCGUCGGUCGUGAAAACUUGGGGCUUAACCCUGAGCUUGCGGUCGAUACGGGCAUGACUGGAGUUCGGUAGGGGAGACUGGAAUUCCUGGUGUAGCGGUGAAAUGCGCAGAUAUCAGGAGGAACACCGGUGGCGAAGGCGGGUCUCUGGGCCGAUACUGACGCUGAGGAGCGAAAGCGUGGGGAGCGAACAGG
rnacentral:rRNA from 1 species